UACGGGGGGGGCAAGCGUUGUUCGGAAUUACUGGGCGUAAAGGGCUCGUAGGUGGCCAACUAAGUCAGACGUGAAAUCCCCAGGCUUAACCUGGGAACUGCGUCUGAUACUGGAUGGCUUGAAUUCGGGAGAGGGAUGCAGAAUUCCAGGUGUAGCGGUGAAAUGCGUAGAUAUCUGGAGGAAUACCGGUGGCGAAGGCGGCAUCCUGGACCACAACUGACGCUGAGGCGCGAAAGCUAGGGGAGCAAACAGG
rnacentral:rRNA from 1 species